GACGAACGCUGGCGGCGUGCUUAACACAUGCAAGUCGAACGGUGAAGCGCCUUCCUUUUUGGUGGGUGUGGAUGAGUGGCGAACGGGUGAGUAACACGUGAGUAACCUGCCCCCUUCUUCUGGAUAACCGCAUGAAAGUUUGGCUAAUACGGGAUAUUCUGGGUCUGUCGCAUGAUGGGUCUGGGAAAGAUAUUGUUUCGGUGGGGGAUGGGCUCGCGGCCUAUCAGCUUGUUGGUGGGGUGAUGGCCUACCAAGGCGGUGACGGGUAGCCGGCCUGAGAGGGUGGACGGUCACACUGGGACUGAGACCCGGACCAGACUCCUACGGGAGGCAGCAGUGGGGAAUAUUGGACAAUGGGAGGAAGGAUGAUGCAGCGCCGCCGCGGGAGGGAUGGAGGCCUUCGGGUUGUGAACCUCUUUCGCCAGUGAAGCAGGCCUGCCUCGUAUGUGGGUGGGUUGACGGUAGCUGGAUAAGAAGCGCCGGCUAACUACGUG
rnacentral:rRNA from 1 species